ensembl:lncRNA
GGAGGGCUUACCAUUAUUACAGCAGCUCUCUGUGGAGCCGGCUCACACACCUGUGAUCUCCCACUGACAUACACACAGAUACACGCAUGCAUACACAGACUACCCAUGUGUAUACAACACAAAAACACACACACACACACACACAGAGCGAAGUAAACUAUAAAAAUGGGUGUUACACACAGUGUAUCCCAUUCAACAAACCGAACAUUCAAAUACCGUUGUAGAAUGUAAAGUAAAACUCUGUUUGUAAGAGUUGCAGAAAUGGUGGCAGUGAAGUCAGACGCAGGAGAGCAGAGAUCGGUAGAGAUAGGUAGAGAUAGGUAGAGAUAGGCAGAGAUAGGCAGAGAUAGGUAGAGAUAGGCAGAGAUAGGCAGAGAUAGGUAGAGAUAGGUAGAGAUAGGUAGAGAUAGGUAGAGAUAGGUAGAGAUAGGCAGAGAUAGGCAGAGAUAGGCAGAGAUAGGCAGAGAUAGGUAGAGAUAGGUAGAGAUAGGUAAUAGCCGGAGCAGUUUCAUUAUAAAACCCACGACAAUACAAAAAUAACCAACAUGGGUACAAAACCCGACGCGCACCAGUAACAUAGCGUACAAGCACUUACAAACAAACAAUUCCACACAAGGACAUGGGGGGAACAGAGGGUUAAAUACACAACAAUUAAUGAUGGAAGUGGAAACCAGGUGUGUAAGAAAACAACACAAAACAAACGGAAAAUGAAAAGUGGAUCGAGGAUGGCUAGAAGACCAAUGAAGCUGACCUCCGAACACCGCCCGAACAAGGAGAGGAAACGACUUGGGUGGAAGUUGUGACAGUACCCCCCCUUGACGCGUGGCUCCAGCAGCGCGCCAACACCGGCCUUGGGGACGACCCGGAGGGCGAGGUGCAGGGUGAUCCGGACGGAGACGGUGGAACUCCCGCAGCAUUGAAGGGUCCAACAUGUCCUCCACCGGAUCCCAGCAUCUCUCCUCCGAACCGUACCCCUCCCUGUUCAUGAGGUACUGAAGGCCCCUCGCUCGACGUCUCAAAUCCAGUAUGGAUCGAACGGAGUACGCCGGGGCCCCCUCGAUGUCCAGAGGGGGCGGAGGAACCUCCCGCACCUCAGACUCCUGGAGCGGGCCAGCCACCACCGGCCUGAGGAGAGACACAUGGAACGAGGGGCUAAUACCGUAAUCGGGGGGAAAUUGUAACCUGUAACUCACCUCAUUCAGUCUCCUCAGGACUUUAAAUGGCCCCACAAACCGUGGACCCAGCUUCCGGCAGGGCAGGCGGAGGGGCAGGUUUCGGGUCGAGAGCUAGACCCGGUUGAACACCGGGGCCUCACUGCGGUAAUGGUGGCGCAGCACGGCGCGCUGAAGGUGAACAUGGGCGGCGUUCCAUGUUUCCUCCAAGCACCAGAACCAGUUGUCCACCGCAGGAGCCUUGGUCUGACUCUGAUGCCAAGGAGCCAGAACCUGGCUGAUACCCCAGUAGGCACUGGAAGGGGGAGAGGUUAGUGGAGGAGUG